AGUGAGACUUUGCUCUCCUCAGGGACCUUUAGUCAAUAUUUCUGCAGUUAAUGUUGGGGGUCUGUGAUAUUUCAGCCCCUCUCAAGGAGAGGACUUGAUCAGAUCAGAACUGUCUAAGAAGACAUGAUACAUUUCAGUUGCAGUUUAUUGACAGGAGAGUGGACAGGGCAUAAAUUCAAAGUGUCUUUGGUCUCUGGACUAUCUUGUAGGCACGAGUCCAUAAUUCAGCCUCUGCCAAGUUAAUUGCUCUAGGGGUCACAACAUGAUAAAAAUUCUGUUAUCUCGUUUAGAUGUAAGGGACUCCUAACUCAUGAUUUGAUUAAGACACACCAUGGUUUUUAAGGUUGUGUCACUCCAAGCCUGUAAGUGGAAUCCAAACCCCAACAGAAAGUCUGGGGAGAUGGUGCAGUCUGAAACACAAGCACCUCACUGGAUUUCUCAUCUUAGGACUCAUGUAAAGACAACCAUGAUACAGCAGUGUCAACCGGCAAUCUCAGCACUGGCAAGGUGGAGAGAGACAGAUGCCUGGAGUCACUGACCAGCUGCCCCACAGAAAUCAGCUACCUCUGGGUUCAGCGGAAGAUCCUAUCUUGAGAAAUUAGGCCUUUCCCUCUCCACACAUGCUUCAAUAUCUCAUCAGACUGGAACCAUGGUGUGACUACCACAAGGUGUUCUGAACAAAGCAAAAAUUUAAAGAACAGAGAAAAAGUCUUGGGGUAUGGACCAUCGAACCUUUGGACAUAAGGAUAUUUGGGAACUGGUUGAUCUGGAGUGGUGUAAGCAUGGUCACCAGAGCAAGGCUGUUGCUGAUUGCCUGAAAGAACAAGAAACUGUCUCUGAUUGUCUGAUUUCCAGAAUUAAAGCUACUUGUUGGGUGACACUGACAUUUGGACUUCCCUGCAGCUGACCCUGAGGUGAGGCCACAAGUUCUAAGGAGAGCGUGAUGCCUUGUUAGCAUGGCCAAAGGACAGUCUUAAGAGCACUAAGGGCCAGGCAGACAUCUCAUGGUGCCCUUACCAAAAACCAUCUACAUUUGAUGCCCAGGCCUCACCUGGUGGAAGGAGAGAGAUUUCCAGGAUCUACAUUGUGGAAGGAGAGAAUCCACUUCUGAAAAUUAUCCUCUAGCCCCUACACACGUGUGCAUAUUAGUACUAAAUAGAUAAAUACAAUAUAAUCAAAAUUAAAAGACCUCCCCCAGAGAAAAGCUCUUUAAUCCUCAGUAAUAUAGCCAAUUUGUCAAACCACUGACAAUGAAGCAAUAUCUGUGUGGUCUGAAAUGCCUUUGGAAACUGGUGCUGUUGAGAUGGGCAGCUUGAAAGUUUGCGAACCAGCAGCUACGUGAACAACAAAAAGGAUGGAGAGGGGGAAAAAGCACGAAUGCCACAAAAAUGCUUAUUCUUGGUAACUUUUUCAAAUUGUUCUCCAAAUUUUAUUACAAUAUUAGUGCGAGUACAAGAAGCAAUUUCAUUCCCUGGUCAUUGCUAAAGAGGACAUUGGGAGGGAAUGAGGCGAGGAGAGGGGACCAUUGACAUUUGGGUUACAUUAAAUUUAAAAAUAGUUGUUUUUCAGUACUAUAGAAAAGCCCAUAUUUGGUGAUGCGAGUGGAUUCUAAGGGUAAAUUUAGCAUGCUACAAUCUGCAAAUAGCUUUUAAUCUGUUAGUUGCUUAAGUAUUUCUGUCGCCAGUGAGUAAGACUGAUUUAUAUUUGCAUUUAAAGAAACCAUUUAGAGAAAUGUCAUUUCCAGCCAUUGAAACGAAGAGCGUGAGAGUUUUUAGAUUCACAAAAAAGCUAUUUUCCGAAGGUGGUCAGAUUCUAAAUGUAAUCUGGCUGUAAAAACACAGAAAUGUCAGCCCACACCAUAAAGUGGAGCCAAGAAGUCAAAGAUCACAUUCAAAUGAAGCUUUUAAUAAACAUUUUAGAGCAUGAAUAAUUCACUGGCUCAGUAGAUAAUUGAUGGGGGUGAUGGUUGGGGGGUGUCUGUGGUGUGUGGGAGUAUUUGUGCUGGAUGUUGUCAGAGUUCAUUGUGUCUACAAAAUGCACAGCUCAGUUUAUUCUGAGCCAAAUAUGAGUGAUCACGGACCAGGAACACCCAUCUGGGUUGCUCUGAACGGCUUGUUUCGUUGGGGAGGCAGUUAGGUGGACUUCCAUAGUUACAGAAGAAAAGGAAGUCCUAAGUAAAAGUGCUUGCUGAUUGCCGGGGCAGGAGACAGGCAGGUUACAGCAACCGGGAACCUCUGCUACAGAUCCCAGGGCUGACGGAUGAGCUUCUUAACUCUGGGUGGCUAAGUCCAUACAUUCCAAAGGUCUACCUGGUAGCAAAUGUUAGGUCAGAUGCACAAGGUGGGCAGCGGAUACCUGUGAAUGGGACUAAAAGUAGUUCAAGAUAAUUCUGGCUCUGGAUGUUAACAUUCCCACUCUCCACAAUCUCUAGUCUAUCAGCUUUGUAAAGUCCUCAAAAUGGAUGUGGCUAUUGAGGGGGAUUUUAAUGUACAAUUGUUGCCAAGUCUGCAUUAUAUUGGGCAUCUCCACCAUCCAGAAAGACAAAAAGGAAGUUAUAUUUUUCUUUCUUUCUUUCUUUCUUUCUUUCUUUCUUUCUUUCUUUCUUUCUUUCUUUCUCUCUUUCUUUCCUUCUCUUCCUUUCUCUCUCUCUCUCUUUCUUUCUUUCUUUCUCUCUUUCUUACCUGUGAACUUAGAGAUAUGAUGGAAUUGUGGGAGACUUGCUGACUGUGUCCAGUGCUUUCCAUGGAAUGGCAAGAUAUCCUCAUAUCUUGGCUAUUCCAAAGUUUUUCAUUUCCACUUUCUAUCUUAAUGAAAAAAAUUGGCAGUGCUUACUUAUGUCAGAAAAAUAAGACUGAAGGGGUUGGGGCGACUGCGCAGCUAGUGAGUGGAUAGAGCGUAGGCGUGAAGGCCUGAGUACGGCUCCCCUGCACCCAUGCACAAAGCCAGGCACGAUGGAGUGCACACGAAAUUCCUGGCUAGGGCUAGGAUGACUCAGGAGGAUUCCAGCUAGCUAGUCUAGCUGAAUCAGGGAUGAGCGUCAGAAGAGGAAAGGGGGAAGAAGGAUGGGCACGGAGAGGGAGAGAUAUUCUAUACAUUUUGAUACAUGGAAUUUUCAGCAUCGUUCAGAUCUAUCUAAACAUUUUCUAAUUUUCCUUAAAUGUUGGUUUUACUUGAGCCCAUGAAUUAUAUAGCAGCUUGUUAUGAAAUUUACAAAAUGUAUAGUGUUAUAUUCACGUAGUUCCUUUCUAGGUUUAUUUCUUUAAUUCAUGAUGGAUUUAUAUGGAUGUGGAGGGGAAGGGUUACCCACAGUGAGUGCAGGCGCCAUUGGAGGCCAGAAGAGGCCAGGAGAUGGCCUGGAGCUUCGGUUUCAGGCACUUGUGCUGGGAACGGAGCUCUUAACUGCUGAGCCAUCUCCCCAGGCCCUUUAUUAGAAUUCCCCAUCUCUAUCUUAACUGC